rnacentral:rRNA from 1 species
UAAGCGUGGAGUUCCUUCAGAGUCCGAGAGGUGCUUGACCGGGUGUUGAGCUCGCGUCACCAAGUCUGCCUCACAAGCAGUACUACAACGCAUGACCUCAUUGGGGUAGGACAACCCGCUAGACUUAAGCAUAUUAAUCAGCGGAGGAAAAGAAACUAACCAGGAUUCCCUCAGUAACUGCGAGUGAAGCGGGAUCGGCUCAAUGUGUGAAUCUGGCUUGGGGUACAUCCCGGGUCCGAGUUGUGCACUAUGGAUGCUUUGUCUGCGUUUGUAAAGGCGGUGGAAGUCCGUUGAAACACGGCACCUCAGAGGGUCACAGUCCUGUACCAUCCGUCUGCACUCGCGCCAAUGACAAGUGCUCCUCGAGUCGCGUAGUUUUGUAAUGCUGCGCCAAGUGGGAGGUAGAGACCUUCUAAGGCUAAAUAUGAUGACGUGACCGAUAGCACACAAGUACCGCGAGGGAAAGGUGAAAAGCAACCAUGAAAAAUGGGUUGAAACAGUAGUGAAAUCGCUACCGGGAUAAGGGCUAUCGGGUGCUGGGGCUCUUUGGGUGUGCUUUAGUGCUACCCUCGGAGUCGGCCCGCGAGGGUUGAUGUUGGGGCGAUAGACGCG